rnacentral:rRNA from 1 species
GACGAACGCUGGCGGCGUGCUUAACACAUGCAAGUCGAACGGUAAGGCCCUUCGGGGUACACGAGUGGCGAACGGGUGAGUAACACGUGGGUGAUCUGCCCUGCACUUCGGGAUAAGCCUGGGAAACUGGGUCUAAUACCGGAUAGGACUCCGGACUGCAUGGUCUGGGGUGGAAAGCUUUUGCGGUGUGGGAUGGGCCCGCGGCCUAUCAGCUUGUUGGUGGGGUGUUGGCCUACCAAGGCGACGACGGGUAGCCGGCCUGAGAGGGUGGCCGGCGAGCGUGGGAUCGGGAUGCGGCGCAGACUCAUACGGGAGGCAGCAGUGGGGAAUACUGCACAAUGGGCGCAAGCCUGAUGCAGCGACGCCGCGUGAGGGAUGACGGCCUUCGGGUUGUAAACCUCUUUCAGCACCGACGAAGCGCAAGUGACGGUAGGUGCAGAAGAAGGACCGGCCAACUACGUGCCAGCCGCCGCGGUAA